UAAUCUCACACUUACUAAUCCUGUUGGAUUAGGGAGUGGUGGACUUGGGUGUUGCUGCGUCACUGUGGCUCAUCUUAAAUGGAGUAGUGCAACUCUUGGUUGGACAUAGAACAGCGUGAUAAGUAUCUUCGCUGGCUCCUCACUCGUAAGAGAGAGAGAGGGUGUGCGAUCGGGAGCUCUGUGCUUCAAACUACACUGUCUUUGGACAAUAUUUGACA
rnacentral:misc_RNA from 1 species